UACGUAGGGGGCUAGCGUUGUCCGGAUUUAUUGGGCGUAAAGAGCGUGUAGGCGGCCAUGUAGGUCCGGUGUGAAAACUCGAGGCUUAACCUCGAGAUGUCAUCGGAAACCAUUUGGCUAGAGUCCGGAAGGGGAGACUGGAAUUCCUGGUGUAGCGGUGGAAUGCGCAGAUAUCAGGAGGAACACCGGUGGCGAAGGCGGGUCUCUGGGCAGUAACUGACGCUGAGGAGCGAAAGCGUGGGGAGCGAACAGG
rnacentral:rRNA from 1 species